rnacentral:rRNA from 1 species
AACGCUGGCGGCGUGCCUAAUACAUGCAAGUCGAACGGCUUUUCUAUGGAAGCUUGCUUCCACUGAGAAGAUAGUGGCGAACGGGUGAGUAACACGUGGGUAACCUGCCCAUAAGAGGGGGAUAACAUCCGGAAACGGGUGCUAAUACCGCAUAGUUUUCUUGAUUGCAUGAUUGAGAAAGGAAAGACGGCCUUUGUGCUGUCGCUUAUGGAUGGACCCGCGGCGUAUUAGUUAGUUGGUGAGGUAACGGCUCACCAAGACGAUGAUACGUAGCCGACCUGAGAGGGUGAUCGGCCACAUUGGGACUGAGACACGGCCCAAACUCCUACGGGAGGCAGCAGUAGGGAAUCUUCCGCAAUGGACGAAAGUCUGACGGAGCAACGCCGCGUGGGUGAAAGAAGGUUUUCGGAUCGUAAAACUCUGUUGUCAGAGAAGAACAAGUUGGAGAGUAACUGCUCCAGCCUUGACGGUAUCUGACCAGAAAGCCACGGCUAACUACGUGCCAGCCGCCGC